UGUGUAGUCGUUGUAAUGUAGUAAGUACAUUACAAUCGCUAAUGACAGCAUAUCGUCAGGUAAAUCUUCCGAGUCAAUAACUAUAGGUGGAACAUUUUUGUUUCUUUUGUUGUUGUUAUUUACAUUGUUGCUGGUGUUAUUGCUGCUAAUGUUGCUGGAGUUUGAUGUACCUGCUAUGUUUUGACAAAUUGAGUUUGACUUCAAUAAAAUUUGAAUCCACCUCACUUUCAAUGGAUAAUCUAUCUGAACAUAAAUUAUUCUCACCAUAAUCCAGCUCCAUAUCACUAACGCUAGGAACAUAAGAGCUGGAUGCCUUUUGAUUAAUAUUUUGGUCAGAAUUAUUCUUUGAUAGUAAUUCAUCAACCUGCUUUUGCAAUUUUUGCAACUGCCUUUUCAAAGAAGAAUUAUCUUGCAACAGUUUUUUAUUAGCUUGCACUAAUUUUUGUGUUGCAUUUUUAUAUUACUAUAUCCUUUAUAUUAUUUAUAUCAUCGUUUUUUUGUGCUGAAACCAUGUGGUAAAGUACCACCAGCACUACAGAACAUCCGAUUUUUUAUUGUAUAUAUGUAUUAUACACUUAUAAUGUGCAAUCUACAGUUCGAAUUAUAUCCAAAAUACUUUAAUUUAUUAAGUGACACAAUAGUGAAUAGUUAUUUAUUGAAUAUGACAACUUUUUAAUAAUAGUAAAAGUAAUGCAAAAUUUCACGACUUUCCUCGGCGAGAUAUCGAUCGUAACUCAUUGCGUUAGCUUUAAACAUGAUGUUAUUAAAAUUAGAAAUGUAAA